rnacentral:rRNA from 1 species
AGUGGAUGGGGAGCAACCUAGUUGUGCGUGUGUAAAGGUAGUGCCAAGAAAAGCGGUGAUCAUGAUGAAAAUCAAUUCCCGGUACCCGAAACCGACACAGGUGGGCAAGUAGAGAAUACUAAGGGGCGCGAGGUAACUCUCUCCAAGGAACUCGGCAAAAUGACCCCGUAACUUAGGGAGAAGGGGUGCCACCGAGAGGUGGUCGCAGUGAAGAGGCCCAGGCGACUGUUUAGCAAAAACAUAGGUCUCUGCAAACUCGAAAGAGGAGGUAUAGGGGCUGACGCCUGCCCAGUGCCGGAAGGUUAAAGAAGUUGGUCAGUCUUAGGAUAAAGCUAGCGACUGAAGCCCCGGUGAACGGCGGCCGUAACUAUAACGGUCCUAAGGUAGCGAAAUUCCUUGUCGGGUAAGUUCCGACCCGCACGAAAGGCGUAACGAUCUGGGCGCUGUCUCGGAGAGAGGCUCGGCGAAAUAGGAUUGUCUGUGAAGAUACGGACUACCUGCAUUUGGACAGAAAGACCCUAUGAAGCUUUACUAUAGCUUGGAAUUGUGUUCGGGCUUCCUGUGCGCAGGAUAGGUGGGAGGCGAAGAAGGUAUUCUUGUGGGGAUACUGGAGCCAACGGUGAGAUACCACUCUCAGGAGGCUAGAAUUCUAACUUAAUUAAGGACAGUUUCAGGUGGGUAGUUUGACUGGGGCGGUCGCCUCCAAAAAGGUAACGGAGGCGUACAAAGGUUCCCUCAGACUGGUUGGAAAUCAGUCGCAGAGUGCAAAGGCAGAAGGGAGCUUGACUGCGAGAAGUACAGUUCGAGCAGGGUGGAAACACGGUCUUAGUGAUCCGACGGUGCUGUGUGGAAGGGCCGUCGUUCAACGGAUAAAAGUUACUCUAGGAUAACAGGCUGAUCUCCCCCAAGAGUUCACAUCGACGGGGAGGUUUGGCACCUCGAUGUCGGCUCAUCGCAACCUGGGGCGGAAGUACGUCCCAAGGGUUGGGCUGUUCGCCCAUUAAAGCGGUACGUGAGCUGGGUUCAGAACGUCGUGAGACAGUUCAGUCCAUAUCCGAUGUAGGCGUGAGAAUAUUGAGAGGAGCCUUCCUUAGUACGAGAGGACCGGGAAGGACGCACCGCUGGUGUACCUGUUAUGAUGCCAAUUGUAAACGCAGGGUAGCCAAGUGCGGAGAGGAUAACCGCUGAAAGCAUCUAAGUGGGAAGCCCACCUCAAGAUGAGUAUUCUGGUGUAAGGUCACGGGAAGACGACCCGUAAAUAGGCACGAGGUGGAAGUGCAGAGAUGUAUGAAGCCGAAGUGUACUAAUAGACCGUCGGCUUGAC